GCUAGUGUGGCAUAGUGGUUUGAGUGUUAGACUAUGACUUUGGAAACCAGGGUUUGAUUCCCUGCUCACACU